rnacentral:rRNA from 1 species
GACGAACGCUGGCGGCGUGCUUAACACAUGCAAGUCGAACGGAAAGGCCCUGCUUUUGUGGGGUGCUCGAGUGGCGAACGGGUGAGUAACACGUGAGUAACCUGCCCUUGACUUUGGGAUAACUUCAGGAAACUGGGGCUAAUACCGGAUAGGAGCUCCUGCUGCAUGGUGGGGGUUGGAAAGUUUCGGCGGUUGGGGAUGGACUCGCGGCUUAUCAGCUUGUUGGUGGGGUAGUGGCUUACCAAGGCUUUGACGGGUAGCCGGCCUGAGAGGGUGACCGGCGACAUUGGGACUGAGAUACGGCCCAGACUCGUACGGGAGGCAGCAGUGGGGAAUAUGGCACAAUGGGCGGAAGCCUGAGGCAGCAACGUCGCGUGCGGGAUGACGGCCUUCGGGUUGUAAACCGCUUUAGCCUGUGACGAAGCGUGAGUGACGGUAAUGGGUAAAGAAGCACCGGCUAACUACGUG